CCCUUAGAUGUCCUGGGCCGCACGCGCGUUACACUGAUGCAUUCAACGAGCUUAUAACCUUGGCCGAGAGGCCUGGGCAAUCUUGUUAACGUGCAUCGUGAUAGGGAUAGAUUAUUGAAAUUAUUAAUCUUGAACGAGGAAUUCCUAGUAAACGCAGAUCAUCAAUCUGCAUUGAUUACGUCCCUGCCCUUUGUACACACCGCCCGUCGCACCUACCGAUUGGAUGGUCCGGUGAAAUCUCGGGAUUGUGGCCAGUUCACUUUAUUGGGAGUUGGCUGCGAGAACUUGCUUAAACCUUAUCAUUUAGAGGAAGGUGAAGUCGUAACA
rnacentral:rRNA from 1 species